UGAGGCAGGAGAAUUGCUUGAACCCAGGAGGUGGAGGUUGCAGUGAGCCGAGACUGUGCCACUGUACUCCAACCUGGGUGACAGAGCGAGACUCCAUCUC
rnacentral:miRNA from 1 species